rnacentral:rRNA from 1 species
ACUCCUGCGGGAGGCAGCAGUGGGGAAUAUUGGACAAUGGGCGCAAGCCUGAUCCAGCCAUGCCGCGUGAGUGAUGAAGGCCCUAGGGUUGUAAAGCUCUUUCACCGGAGAAGAUAAUGACGGUAUCCGGAGAAGAAGCCCCGGCUAACUUCGUGCCAGCAGCCGCGGUAAUACGAAGGGGGCUAGCGUUGUUCGGAAUUACUGGGCGUAAAGCGCACGUAGGCGGAUCGAUCAGUCAGGGGUGAAAUCCCAGGGCUCAACCCUGGAACUGCCUUUGAUACUGUCGAUCUGGAGUAUGGAAGAGGUGAGUGGAAUUCCGAGUGUAGAGGUGAAAUUCGUAGAUAUUCGGAGGAACACCAGUGGCGAAGGCGGCUCACUGGUCCAUUACUGACGCUGAGGUGCGAAAGCGUGGGGAGCAAACAGGAUUAGAUACCCGUGUAGUCC